GUGCAGCAGUCGCGAAAACUUUACAAUGCGGGAAACCGCGAUAAGGGGACACCGAGUGCCAGCAUACUAUGUUGGCUGUCCACAUGUGUAAAUAGCAUGUGUUAGCAAGGGCCGGGCAAGACCGGUGCCAGCCGCCGCGGUAACACCGGCGGCCCGAGUGGUAAUCACUAUUAUUGGGGUCUAAAGGGUCCGUAGCCGGUUUGAUUAGUCUUCCGGGAAAUCUGAUAGCUCAACUAUUAGGCUUCCGGGUGAUACUGUCCGACUUGGGACCGGGAGAGGUAAGAGGGUACUACAGGGGUAGGAGGUGAAAUCUUGGUAAUCCCUGUGGGACCACCAGUAGGCGAAGGCGUCUUACCAGAACGGGUCCGACGGUGAGGGACGAAAGCUGGGGGCACGAACCGGAUUAGAUACCCGUGUAGGU
rnacentral:rRNA from 1 species